UACGAAGGGGGCUAGCGUUGCUCGGAAUUACUGGGCGUAAAGGGCGCGUAGGCGGAUAUCUAAGUUGGGGGUGAAAUCCCGGGGCUCAACCUCGGAAUUGCCUUCAAAACUGGAUAUCUUGAGUUCGGGAGAGGUGAGUGGAACUCCGAGUGUAGAGGUGAAAUUCGUAGAUAUCGAGAGGAACACCUGCGGCGAAGGCGGGUUGCUGGGCUGACACUGACGCUGAUGCGCGAAAGCUAGGGGAGCGAACGGG
rnacentral:rRNA from 1 species